rnacentral:lncRNA from 1 species
ACAAAGAUCGCUAGAUUCCCUGAACACCCACAGGCCCUUACUCACCACCCAUCCUGUCCUUUCCUGCUGUGAGCACGCUAAUCUCUCCAACUGUCCCUCGCCAACCCCUAGACCAGGGGUUUACAUAGGGACCUAUAGGGACAGGGGUACCAUGACCGUGCACAUGGCAGACACUCCUCAUGAAUAAUUAACAUGAUUGAAAUUGACCCAACUAGGAUUGAAUUAACACAUGAUGGUGUUCCUUGUGUCACUCCCUGUUCUUGCCUCAUAAAGAUGGAUCCAGUUCCACAGGGCCACUGCCAUGGCGGCCAUCCUCCAGGCCCUGGUGGGCCCCACCCUGGCCAUGGCCCAGGACACCCUCCUGGGGCAUGCCCCAACCCAGGACCUGGUGGACACCCCCACGGUCAUGACCCACAUCACCCUCCUAAGGGAGGCCAUCCCCCAGGACCUGGUGGGCAUCCCCUGGCCCAGGACAUCCCCCUGGUCCACAUCACUGAGGAAACAGACGAAAAUAGGACACAAGAUGAGGAGCCUUCAUGGAUUGCCCUGCUGACCUGGAACCAGGCUGGAACCAGAAUCUUCUCUUCCUAAUAAACAGCCUCUAAAGGCUAUGUUCUAGUCUUAAAGAGCCUGUC